CCUACGAGUGGCAGCAGUGAGGAAUAUUUGUCAAUGGGCUUACGCCUGAACCAGCCAAGUCGCGUGAGGGAAGACUGCCCUAUGGGUUGUAAACCUCUUUUGUCAGGGAGCAAUUUGCGCUACGUGUCGCGUUAUCGAGAGUACCUGAAGAAAAAGCAUCGGCUAACUACGUGCCAGCAGCCGCUGUAAUACGUAGGGGGCAAGCGUUAUCCGGAUUUACUGGGUGUAAAGGGGGCGUAGACGGUGAGACAAGGCUGAAGUGAAAGCCCGGGGCUCAACCCCGGGACUGCUUUGGAAACUGCCGGACUGGAGUGCGGGAGAGGCAAGCGGAAUUCCUAGUGUAGCGGUGAAAUGCGUAGAUAUUAGGAAGAACACCAGUGGCGAAGGCGGCUUGCUGGACAGUAACUGACGUUGAGGCUCGAAAGCGUGGGGAGCAAACAGGAUUAGAUACCCUUGUAGUC
rnacentral:rRNA from 1 species